CACAGUGAAACUGGUGCUAAAAGUAGCGGAUUCACCUAUCAUAUCUGUUAAAUCAGCACUAAAGAGUAUUAACAACCCAAGGAAUAAGGUGAAGCUGAGCACCAAGGACCACUCUCAAUACUCCCUCGCUCAGAAUGGCCAGUCAAUGGUGAACUUUGUGUUAGAGUUCAGGGAGCUAGCCAAAACUUCCUCACUGGGGGAUUCAAAGCUAAUAGCUUUGUUUCUAGGUGGUUUAGAAGAUCUGUGGUCCUCUAGAAUGCCCAAGAAUCUUCUUAAGGGCCCGCUCAUAGCGUGCCUGUAUUAUGCCCUACAGCUGAGUCGAUCCACUCCAUCCGAUCCUUCGCCACAGUCAUCACCUAUCAUGGCUGCUGAUCAUGAGUCAUCACCAGUCACAGCCGCUGAUCAUCAGACAUCACACAUUAUGGCUGUUGUUCCGGAAGCACCACCUGUUAAGGCCACCAGUACAGAGUCAGUAUUCAAAAUGGCCACCAUCCCAGAGCCUUUCUUAGUGCCCGCUCCAACCCCGGCUCCUCGCAAGUGCUGUGCCGUGCCUGCUCCUCCAGAGUGCCCUCCAGCUCCGCUGCAGAUGUGGAAAACUGCUUUUGUAUGCCUGACUUGUGGAGGAGAGCUCAGUUGUCCUCAUGGUAAAGUUCAUCUGUGUGCCGGCACUAAGCUAUCAGUCCAGGGGUUGAAGAGCACCAUCCAUCCCUGAGCUAUGAAACGCUGCUCUGACCUUGGAAAAGAAAUGGUGGAGAUGGAACGAGAACAACAACAAACUACUGACAACUGGAAAAACAAUAAUGCCUGCAUUGAAGAGCAAUUCAUGUGAGGGGAUUAAAAGUACGCUAGCAAUUAAAAAAACUCUAACAGAGUUCAUAACUUUUGAAGAGAAAAGGCGCAGACACUGGACAAGGAUGAAUAUUUCUAGUGCGCUAUUCAGUGAAGGCUGCGGAUUCGACUAUGAGGUGUACUUUGGGAUAUUUAGGUUGCUAAAUAUAAAAAUUUCAACAGCUGUUGUGUUGUGAAGAUCUGUAUAAUAUUAGUAGUUUAAAAUAAGAUGUAGCUUAUGUUAAUCUCUUCUGAGGUAGACUUUGCAGCAAUGUUUAUUAUAGAGUUAUUGAGUUAUUAUUAUUAAAGAUUACCUUUUGAUACAGUUUGAAGUUCAAUGAUGCAUCAGACUGAGUUUGCAUAGCUAGAAGAAUUUGUUGUUUACAAACUUGUAUAUAUGAUUUAGGCCUAAAUUUCCAGACGGUAACAAGCCACAACAGCAGACUGCAAAUUCUACAGACUGAUGCUUAAUUAAAGAAGACUGCAAUUCAUUUUUCUCCUAUAUGAACCAACAGCUACAGAUGGUCGUCUGCGCCAUAUGAGUUUGCUGGCACAGUCAUCUCUUUCUUGGAUUCAUAAAUUAUUGGUGUUUGUUAAAAUAACUGGAAAUUGCUUGUGUUGCACCAAAAAGUUUCCACUAAAAUAAUGCUUUGCAAAUGUUUAGAUGACUCUGCAAAAAGUCUUAGAUAUAUAUGUUAUUAUGUGUUUUAGUGACCAAGAGUAUGGAAGUAUAUUGAAAUAUGUCACUGUUUUUCAUUACAGUACUGUAUGAAUUACAUAACAUCUAUUAUGCAAGUCUCUGUGAUUGUUUU
ensembl:lncRNA